rnacentral:rRNA from 1 species
AUUGAACGCUGGCGGCAAGCCUAACACAUGCAAGUCGAACGAGUGGCGGACGGGUGAGUAAUUUCUGGGAAACUGCCCGAUGGAGGGGGAUAACUACUGGAAACGGUAGCUAAUACCGCAUACCAUCGGAUGUGCCCAGAUGGGAUUAGCUAGUAGGUGGGGUAAAGGCUCACCUAGGCGACUAUCCCUAGCUGGUCUGAGAGGAUGACGAGCCAGACUGGAACUGAGAAACGGUCCAGAGGCCUACGGGAGGAAGCAGUGGGGAAUAUUGCACAAUGGGCGCAAGCCUGAUGGAGACAUGCCGCGUGUAUGAAGAAGGCCUUCGGGUUGUAAAGUACUUUCAGCGGGGAGGCGUUACCCGCAGAAGAAGCACCGGCUAACUCCGUGCCAGCAGCCGCGGUAAUUC